rnacentral:lncRNA from 1 species
GGGGGGGUCGAGGGGGCUACCAUUGAGCGAAGCUCGGGUUCUCCCUGGGCGGAGAACGCUGAAGCUGGCGCUGGAAGGCGGCUCCACGUCGACGAAGAGGUUCAGAUCUUUGGACAUCCCCUCGUUCAGCGCUUUCUCUUGGCCUCCACGCACUGGUCGCAAAGGACUCUUCAUUCCUGCGCUUUCUCGAGCCCGAAGAUGACAGAGCAGAGUUCUCCCGAUUGCGGGGAUGAUGAGGUCUCCUUGCAUCCUCCACUCUCGUCCACACAGAGCCUCUACCGCUCCCUCUACCCGACGCAUCUCUGUCCUGGUUCAAGCUUCGUCUGGCAGAAGGACGAGGUGGGUCUGUUCGAGGGCGAGAGUUUGAUCGCGGCGCAGAGGGAGGAGCACUGCGCUCAUUACCACCAAGCGUGAGCCUUUCGCGCUCCAUACCCACCGCAGCUUCACGGUUUCUUGUGACAGGCUCCAUCGAUCCCGGAUCUCUCUCUGAAGCAGAUCGGAGAGCCGCAGAGCGGCGAGCUUUGUUGUCCUGUCUUUCCCUCUCAGAGAGCACCAGGCAGUUGCGUUCCUCGUGGGAGAUCAUGUUGCAGGAAAAGCAGUACCUGUAGAGGCGUUCGUAAUGAAGAGACACCGAGACCUCGUCGCCGUUGUCGAACUGGGCCCUUCGCUUCAUGAUGAGGGGUUUGGAGGCAUCCACGGUGACAUUUACUCUUCCGUCUUUGACGUCGACAGCUUCGACGUGUCCCAGUGAUUCCCCGAUCUUCCGAAAAGCCUCAUCGACCCAGUAAUGUAAGGGGAUCCCUCGAAUCCUAACCCAGAAAGUCACUGUGCUCGGGAAAUCGUCCCGGAUAUUAGGUUCCCAUCUCUCCAGGGAAAAUGUCCACUUAUUGAAGUGGCAGGGUCGUCGCUUGAGGACUUUUUGGAGGUCCUCCUCUGUUUCAAAGUCGAAGUAGAAGCGGCCGUUCCCGAGAUCGUGGCCCUGGACUCUUCCGUCGAGAUCCCAGAUGCCUGUGCGAGGCAUGAAAGCCAGAAGCGCCUCUGUACUUCGUCCGAGAUGAAAGGUGCGCCCGAUGAGUGUCAGGCGGAAGCGGUCGAGCAGGGCAGAGUAGUCAAAGCGUGGGAUCCGGAUGGGUUCGUCUUCCUGCGGAGAACGCCGGCCUCGUGGAGCAGACAGGUCAGAAGGUUGGUUCGUCAUUCCACCGAGUAUCACGUAGCAGGGAGCUAGAAAGAGACGAGAUCUAUUGAGUUACGCGAGAAUGGUGAGGUUUUUGAGGCACCUUCACCACAGGAGACUCAGAAUCUCAGGCAGGAAAGAGAACGAAAGAAGAACAGGGGUAAACAGAGUAGAAGGGAAGGUUGUCGGGAAGACGGAGACAAGAUCGGAGAGCAGGAAACACGAUUUGCGAAGAGGAAAUCAAUGUCCUUACAGUCCGUACAAGUCGGCGCUUGGGAGAGAAAAGGGAGAGCUAGGGUUUUUUUACAUACCUUUCACGUUUUUGGAGUAUUCUUUAUUUCUUACUCAGGACAAAGAGUAAGAAGAGGAACAAAGAUUCCAGAACAACAAAUCAGUCAUUGAAGACCCAGCAUCACAGAGACUGGGAUGUGCUGGUAUUGAAGAUUGUUUUGGAACAGUAACGACGAAAUUUCUACAAUAUUGAAGGUGGUAUAUCAAAAGAUCUUUGGGAAAAUAAAUAUUUAGUUCCUACACUCAUGCUACCAAUUCUUUUGAUGUAUCAGUUUCCUUGUUGAGUAUGGUGGUAGGAAUUAAAUCUUUAUUGUUUCAAGAAUCCAUCUCUUAUUAUAGAAAAUUUCAUCUUAGUCCUCAAUAUCAGCAUACGCCGGUUCUGGUGAUGCUGGUUCUUCUAUGAUUGGUUCACAAGUUUGGGAUCUUUGUGUUUCUUUUUGCUCUGUCUUGAAUAAGAAAUAAGGACUGUCGUCAAAUUGACCACAACAGGCUUGUGAUUGUAUCUUUUCUCAUUGAAUGUUAAAGUUCACGGUGUUCUCCUCUCUGGUUGUUAUGGUAGAGGAAGUUAGAGAAAGCGAGAGGGUUUUUAACUAUACUCUAUCCAAUGUUCAGAUUUGUUGCAUAUAGAAAUACUCUAUAAAAUUGGUUUCAGUGAUCAUUUGACUUAGAGAUAUCGUAUGAUAUGUCUUUUUGUUCAGGUUUUCUUUGCUUAUUCAUCUCAUAUGUGUUUUCACCUGCUUAUAUACAUAUUUUGCAGAUCACUACCAUCUUUCCUUAUUUAUGGGCAUAUAAUCUGCAUCUUUAUUAAUUCACAAUGGAAAUCUUCAGGUAAUGAUGUUAUCCUCUUCUUAUUCAUAUAAUUUUCUAUUAAUGUAGUCCACCCAAAUCACUCAUAUCUAGCUUAUUAUUGUAGUUGAAGAUCUCAAGUUUAUUUUAAGCAUACUUGUCCGCAAUCUCUAAGAGAAUAGCACAGAGUUCUUGAGGCUUAGAGAACAUUGCCAUAUGAUCUGUAUCUUUGAUCUCCAUAACUUCUUUAGGUGGAAAGUUGCUAAUCAUCCAAAGCUGGUUAUCCUCAGGUAACGUUAGAUCCUCUCUGCAUACGCGAUAUAUAUAUACAAGUAACGGAUCCAUACCUUCCUCGCUAAAGCUUCUUGUCCAUUGGAAGUGGUACGAACACGGACUGCUUCUGGUUCUCUUUCUCCAUUGCUUUCUUUACUUUCUGGUCCAAAAGCUUAAAUAUACGGUUAGGUUCCCGCAAAUACUCUUUGUAUAUUGACUGAUAGUUUUAGGAGAUCUGGUUUUGAUUUCUAUAGCCCGACGCUAAUGAUUGUCAAACCUAGCAAUAGAGACCUUGGAUUUCCAUUUCCUGAUCUCUUUGUUUUGGAAGAAUCGAAGAUAAUACUGGAGAUAUUAAUAGGC